ensembl:lncRNA
CUCCAGAACUCUCAAUAGUGUUUCUUUAAAAUAAUUUAUUAUUGUUCCUGUGUGUGUGUGUGUGUGUGUGUGUGUGUGUGUGUGUGUGUGACGAUGUAGGUGUCAGGUGACAACCUUGUGGAGUUAAUUCUCUUACCAUUUUGUGAGUUCUGAAAAUUGAACUUAUAGGAUUACACAGCGAGCGUCACUGCCAAGCCGCCUCUCCCACCUGCUGUAGUUUUAACAGUCAACAGUCUGACUUUUUGAGAUAGGGUCUCACAAUCUAGCCCAUGCUGGCUUGCAACUUCUGGUUCUGCCUUCCCCUCCCAUAUGCUAGAAUGACUGGCAUGUACAACCACGCUGGGUUAUUUAGUCCUUAAAACUCUUAUUUAUCAGUUUGUCUCUUUGUUCAGGGUGCGGAGUUCUGCUUUGUUGCUAAAGCAGUUGGUGAUAUUGAGGGUUUAAAAAAAAAUCAAGGAAACAAUAUAUCUUUUGGAUUUGUGUUCUCUAUACUUAGUAUGUUUACUUGAGUACUUAGGACUUAGUAUUAAGUUCCAGUCUGGACUACAUGGUAGUCCCAAAACAAAACAAAACAAAUUAAAAGACUAUUUCCAUUUUCUCAUAUGAUAAGAACAUCUUUCAUUUGCUAGUACAACCUAUUUUAAGUAAUGAUUUUUUUUUUAAAGGUUAAUGGGAAUGGAAUCACUCUUCAUGAUUAUCCAGGUUCCGUGCUCUUCACCCGCAGGUGCUGAGGAUCCGACCCAGGGCAUGUCCACUGGAGGCCCAGGGCCUGUCCACUGGAGGCCCAGGCCUGUCCAUUGGAGGCCCAGGGCCUGUCCACUGGAGGCCCAGGGCCUGUCCACUGGAGGCAAGUCGCUCUACCCCUGAGCCCCUCCCUCCAGCCUCCAAACUGUCCUUAUAUUAUGUUUUUUUUUUUUCUUUUGAAACAAGUUCUCACUAUGUAGCUGAGGUUGGCCUCGAAUUCCUGUCAGCGUCCUCCCUCAGCUGCUGCUAGCCCAGUUCCCCAACAUUGGACUCUUAAGCUCAAGAUUAAAAGUAAUUCUUGGCCCAGAUAAUUGAGCUUUGACUGACACCAGAAAACAUCUGCUUGUUUGAGACAGCUCCAAUCAAGUCUUCUGGCUUUUCUGGAUUGCCCAAGAGUUAAAAUUUGGACCUAGACCUCCUAUUUCUGAUAGGAUAUAAUCGUAAGGGAUGAAAACCAAAAACUUAUCCCCAAAUGUGAUCCACAGGACUUCGAAAAUAGUUUUUUUUUGUUUGUUUUUUUGUUGUUUUUUUUUGUUUUGCAUGAGUGUGGGAUGCAACAUGGCAGCCCUUUUAAUGAAUUGACAACGGAAACAUUAAACACAGCUUGAAGGGCUUGUCAGAAAGAAUCCAAGCUAAAGGUUAUAUUGGAGCCCUUUGAUUUCUGGUCUGAUUAAGAGCUUAAGACUUAGGAGCAGUCUCUGUGUCUUAUGAUGAUGUGGACUUCCUGGUUUAAUAUCAUAUGAGGUGUGUGUUAGUCAAAGCAACUACUUACUGAAACUAAUGGCUUCAGAGAAUAGCUAGUUAAGGAUUUUCCAUAGAGGCAAUGUAUACAUAACUUGGGUUCCAAGGAAGGAGGUCUGGGGGUAGGGGGUGGAGAGGACCGCAGAAUUGGUGUGGAAAUAAGAGUAUUGUUCAGAUGUCACCUCUGAGUUGAUGGAAAUACCCGGACUGAGAGAUUCAUGAGGAAAUGGUACCUGGCCACCUUCUGUGUAGCCCUGAAUCCCCAUGUUAGUAAAACCUCCCAGAAAUGGUCUGACUUCUUAUUGGUUCUAUUUUUCGAUAGUUGCUUCUCCUGUGUCCUGUAUAUACAAGAGAGGUGGAGGGGAAGGCAGGAGACUUCCCCCUGGAUCCCCCUCAGUCCAGGAUAGAAAGCCUGGUGCCUUGCUUAUGUCAGACAAACCCUCUACGGCUGAGCUAUCGCUCAGCUUGUUCUCAUUUUAUUUGGAAAGGGAGUCUUGGUGAGUUUUCCAGGCUUGCCUUGAACUUACCCAGCUCUCCCUUAGCCCCUCGCAAAGCUGAGAUUAUAAACCCGCAGAUCUAACUUUAUAUUCUAAAAAAUGAUGGAGGGGUGGGUGGAAUUUUCCACUGAGAGUAGAAAAGCAAAAUCCCUGGGGAAUGAGUGGCCAAGAAAUAGGCGAUUUCUGCCUAUGCUGUACUGUGGAAUGCACCAGGUCACCCGAGAUCACCAACACCAUAAACUGCAGGCUAGUCGGCCUCUAUGGAAGAUUUGGGUUGCCCUCUCCCAUUCGCCUCUCUGCUUGUCUGUCUGUCUGUCUGUCUGCCUUUCUCCUUGUUCUUGUUUGAUAUUGGUUUUUUUCCUUUCUUUUUCUUUGUUUUGGAUUUUGAGACCAUGCCUCACUCUGUAGCCCAGACACUGGCCUUAAGCUCCCGGCACAAAGCUCCAGUGUCAGCGUCCGGAUCCUACACCUGUCUUCCCUCUCCUCUCUCCUACAAUUUGAAUGUUCCUAGCUUGCUGCCACACACACUGCUUUGAAUGAGUUCAGGGUACAACCAGAGAACUGACUGCAAAAAGGCUCAAGUCCUUCCAUUAAACUUGCCCAUUAUAGGGACUUAGAUUGUAUGAAAAUGACAUGUGGGUGUGUUAAAACGUAUGUGACUAAUGCAUUUAUGAAACAGUAUUCAGUAAGUACACGGGUAGGAAAUAAGGGGCUGCCUCUAGUGAGUCUUCAAGUGCUUUUAGAUACCAGAUGUGCAAUAACUUGUUGAAGACCAGGUGUUUGUCAUUAAAAGACACCCCCCCCAAAAAAAAAAAAAAACAAAAAACCUGUGUGUAUUGGGAAUGUAGUGGUGCUUUGGCUUCUUAUUUUGAAAAUGUGUGUGUUAUUUUAAAUUAUAAUUGGGCACAUUAAUCAAGAAAACAGGAUCCAUCCAGUCUCCCCAGCUCCCAGUGUUUGUCUUUGAGGCUGCUCUAUGUGCAGCUUUUAUGAACAUGAAGUGUCAGCACUAACACAGUCCUGGGUAUGGUGACUGUCUGGGUGGCAGGGUCCCUGGCAGCUGGAGCUUCCCGGUUGAGCCUUCCUUUGUCCCACGUCCAGGUUUGCUCCUACUUACUCCCUGAGUGCCGGUAGGAAAGGAUGGGUGAUCCUCUCACGGGUGAGCAGGAGUUAACUAUGUGUACCAAUAGGAUGUGGGCGUGCAUGCAAGUACGCAAUGAAUGCUGCACAUUGUGCAACUGAAAAUGGGGACAGGGUGCUUAUACCUGACGAGGAAAUGCCAGCCUGUUAAAAUCGUCACAAGAAGUAGCUAUCUUCCUCAGGGGUGGGGGUGUUGAACAUGUGCUUAGCUGGUGGGAAGCCCGGGUCCCAUCCUCUGUGUGUGUAUAUAGACACUUGGACACACAAAUGGUGUCUUGUGUGUCUAUGUUUCUGCCCACAGUUAUCUGUGUCAGGUGUGUGUGUGUGUGUGUGUGUGUGUGUGUGUGUGUGUGUGUGUCUGUGUGUGUGUGUGUG